rfam:Lactobacillus mucosae LM1, complete genome.
UAAAAGAGAAGAGGUGCGAGUCUCAUCAGUAGACCAGGCUGGAUGCUUCAGAAUCAAUGCCUGGCUGAAAGGGAUGCUCGCCGAAACGCGUAUCGACUGAAGGCUUUGCGCGUUGGGCCGUAGUUAAAUAAAUUACGGACUGUCGCAGAAGUUUCUGCGGGGCGCUUCCAUGAUU